rnacentral:rRNA from 1 species
GACGAACGCUGGCGGCGUGCCUAAUACAUGCAAGUUGAGCGCUGAAGGUUGGUACUUGUACCAACUGGAUGAGCAGCGAACGGGUGAGUAACGCGUGGGGAAUCUGCCUUUGAGCGGGGGACAACAUUUGGAAACGAAUGCUAAUACCGCAUAAAAACUUUAAACACAAGUUUUAAGUUUGAAAGAUGCAAUUGCAUCACUCAAAGAUGAUCCCGCGUUGUAUUAGCUAGUUGGUGAGGUAAAGGCUCACCAAGGCGAUGAUACAUAGCCGACCUGAGAGGGUGAUCGGCCACAUUGGGACUGAGACACGGCCCAAACUCCUACGGGAGGCAGCAGUAGGGAAUCUUCGGCAAGGGACGAAAGACUGACCGAGCAACGCCGCGUGAGUGAAGAAGGUUUUCGGGUCGUAAAACUCUGUUGGUAGGGAAGAACGUUGGUGAGAGUGGAAAGCUCAUCAAGUGACGGUAACUACCCAGAAAGGGACGGCUAACUACGUG